rnacentral:lncRNA from 1 species
UAAUAACAGAAGAAUUAUAUCUAUAUUCAUUUAUGUGCUGUUGGGAUUAAGGCAAGUAUUUGUAUAGAGUGGUAAAUAAUGAAAUGUUUCCCAGAGUCUGACUUUUUUCUUUUUUUCAAUCUUUCCUAUGGGCAGACACAUGAGGAGGACACCAAAGAACUCACUUCUCACAUUAUUGUUAGAAGAAACUCCAAGAGAGGUCUAAAGAGGAGAGAAAGAGAAGGAGGUGGAGAUGAGCAGCCUUACAGCAACUGUGAAUCUGCCAACAGCCUGGAGGUGGGAGGACCUCUGUACAGAUCAACAGAGAAGAUCUCCUGGAGGAAGAGCAUUGACUUAAGUCAUGGAACCACCUACCUCUUUCUACUUAAAGGCAUAUUGCAUCUCUUACUUCCUUUUGGCCAAGGGACAAGAGGAAAUAGAAAGAAAAGAAAGGUUCUCUCACAAGGCUGCUAUCAAGAUUUUUGGCCAGGGAUGGGGUCUAAUCUGAAGCUAGAUUGAAGAAGGAUCCUCUUCCAAAUUUACAUGAUUGUUGGUUGCCAGGAUUAAGUUCCUUGUGGGCUGUUGGACUGAAGGUUCCAAUUCCUAGUUGACUAGUUGCUGGAGGCUGCCCUUGGUUCCUUGCUAUGUGGGCCUCUCCAUUUGGAAGUCUGCUUCAUCAAAGCUAACAAGGGAUAGAGUCUCCUAGCAAGAUGGAAGUUACAAUCUUGGGUAAUAAAAUCAUAGACAUGACAGAGCGUCCCCUUUGUUGAAUACUGCUGGUUGGAAGCAAGUCACAUUUUCCACUCACACCAAAGGGAGGGAACUAUACAAAGUUAUGAAUAUAGGAGACAGGGCUAAUUUGGAGCCAUCUUAGUGUCUGUCCAUCAUAGAAACAUUAGAUGCAAUUACCAGAGGUUGGGGUAAGUCCUCUAUUCCUAAUCAUAGUCUUUGUAACAGAAAGCCUUUAAUAUAAAGGUGGGAGUGGGAAUCGAAUCCAGGAUGACAGACAUUCUGAACUGAUAGAUGAAACAUAGUAGUGGAAAAUGUAUAACUCACUUAAAUUCUAGGUGAUCUGGCAGAUAGGUAGCCAGAGAGCCAUUCAUUUCAGGGAAAUGUUUCAGUAACACCUGAAAGAAGAUAAGGUCUAGAUGUUGGUUCUGGGAGACACUGACAGGAGUAAGCCAGAGUGGAUCUAAGUAGUUUACUAAAGUAGAAGCUUAUAUCUGGGGGGAAAAAGCAAAGUCCCAUUUGCCAGAAUUAUAGAGUAAAGAACUUUAAAAAUCUAAGUUCUUAUCUAGGCUCAGAUUUCUGUGUGGUCAGGGAGAUUGUAUCUAUGGAUUUAUCAAUAAGUAUGUUAGAUUUUGAUUGUUCAAGGUGAGAGAGUGGGGAGCUUGCUCCUUUUGGGGAAGAAAAGCACCGAUGGGCUCUCUGCUUAUUGCUACUGGCUGAGGCCACCCUGCCAUGGCUACCUAGGAAACCUGUGCAGUACAUGGGUGUAAGGAAGCUUGGUGGUCAGAAAUAGGAGUAACUGGCAGCUGCACUGUUGAACUACAGGUGGAGGCAACAAGUAGCCAGAAAGUGGAUUCCCAAUUCUAUAUCUACUCAACUCCCAUCAUUUCUGCUAUUCCUGCUGGACCGCAAGCUGAAAGUGGCUCAUUUGCAUACCAUUUUUAAACAUCUAAAUGCACAGAUCUAGCAUUGAAAAUAGAUCUAGUUUCUAUUUUUUUUAAACAAAGGUCUUUCAAUGUACUCUUUCCUGAUCUCCAAGACUUGGAAGCUGUUGAAAUCUUUUCUGGUACUUUGAAAAAUACAGAAUUGUCUAUGUAGUCCUCUCUGGAUCAGAAUAUGAAGGUGAAAAACCUAGAAUGCCUUCCAAGUACACACACAUUGAAGCAUUCUGUAAAGAGACAGAGUUAUCUAUUACAAAGUCCAGCAAAGCCUUCUAGCAGCCUCCAUCCUAACCAUUCACCAGAUGCUAAAACAAAUAAAUUGAAUCACAACUCCCAGUUGAUAUCAGCUGGAAAAAAAUUGAGAAAUUGAGAACCAUUUUUUAUUUUAGUUUUCUUUGAAAAAUAAAUCAUAUAUUAUGGAAAGAGGAGCUUUCUAUUUGUGUUUGAAUAAAAUUUUUGCCUGAGUUCUUUGUGGUAGUAAUAUGUAUAAUAUGUAUGACUUGGA